GGUUAGAAAUAUAUGAUACACUGUACAAAAAGUCCGUGCUUUAUUUAACAUUAGAAGAAAUAGCUCAAUUGGUUUGAACUUGCGCCUCAUGCGUAGAGGUCGUUGGUUCGAAACCCAUUGCAUUGGAGGGGCGGGAGGUGUUAUUUUAUCUUGUUUCCAGUGCCAAUUUUUUUUAUUUUUUGUGUUAUUUUCAGUUUUUCUUUCUUUUUCUUUUUCCUUCAAAAGUAUAAUUUUCAGUUUUUUUUUUUGAAUUUUUAUUUUUUAGUUUCUUUCUUUUUUUUUUCUUUUCAAUUUUUUAUUUUCGUAGUUUUUUUUAAUAUAUUAAAGAUGUCAUUUAGUUAUACUACUCCCUUCGUCCCAUUAAGCUUGUCUCAUUUCUUUUGGACACGGUUAUUAAGAAGAGCUGGG
rnacentral:lncRNA from 1 species